rnacentral:rRNA from 1 species
GAGCGGCAAAAGCUCAAAUUUGAAUCUGGUACCUUCGGUGCCCGAGUUGUAAUUUGGAGAGGGCAACUUUGGGGCCGUUCCUUGUCUAUGUUCCUUGGAACAGGACGUCAUAGAGGGUGAGAAUCCCGUGUGGCGAGGAGUGCGGUUCUUU